GAUGAACGCUGGCGGCGUGCCUAAUACAUGCAAGUCGAGCGAACAGACGAGGAGCUUGCUCCUCUGACGUUAGCGGCGGACGGGUGAGUAACACGUGGAUAACCUACCUAUAAGACUGGGAUAACUUCGGGAAACCGGAGCUAAUACCGGAUAAUAUAUUGAACCGCAUGGUUCAAUAGUGAAAGACGGUUUUGCUGUCACUUAUAGAUGGAUCCGCGCCGCAUUAGCUAGUUGGUAAGGUAACGGCUUACCAAGGCAACGAUGCGUAGCCGACCUGAGAGGGUGAUCGGCCACACUGGAACUGAGACACGGUCCAGACUCCUACGGGAGGCAGCAGUAGGGAAUCUUCCGCAAUGGGCGAAAGCCUGACGGAGCAACGCCGCGUGAGUGAUGAAGGUCUUCGGAUCGUAAAAUUCUGUUAUUAGGGAAGAAAAAAUGUGUAAGUAACUAUGCACGUCUUGACGGUACCUAAUCAGAAAGCCACGGCUAACUACGUG
rnacentral:rRNA from 1 species